rnacentral:tRNA from 1 species
UGGCGGCUAGUAUAUAUAAAACCCCUAAUUUCGACUUAGGCAAUCCCGGAGCCACCCCCGGGGCCACCAC